rnacentral:rRNA from 1 species
CGCGUAUGCAAUCUACCUCUAUCUGGAAGAUAGCCCGGAGAAAUCCGGAUUAAUACUCCAUAAUAUCAUUGAUUCUCCUGUUUUGAUGAUUAAAGCUUUGGCGGAUAGAGAUGAGCAUGCGUCCUAUUAGUUUGUUGGUGAGGUAACGGCUCACCAAGACUUCGAUAGGUAGGGGGCCUGAGAGGGUGAUCCCCCACACUGGUACUGAGACACGGACCAG